rnacentral:lncRNA from 1 species
GUGAAUAGAAGCCUGAUUGCAGUGAGCAGGGGUGGAGGAAGUGGGAGAAGGAAAUGAAGAUCGAUAUGGUAAAUUCUGCAGUAAUUUACUGCAUUGUCAAGCGAGGCUUUCUUUAGGAAGCGAAGAUUGUGUCAGGGUGCAGGUCAAGGGGCAGAAGCCACAUGGAGAGAAGGAUGGGAGCAUAACAACUCAUCUUAUCUUGCAAGUCAUUUAAAACACAGACUUCAUAAGCUCACAGAGGUCCUCAAGCUCACCUGAGUCCUCAUGCUGCAAAGCCUCACACAUUCUCCUGAACAGGAGGUGGCAAGAAAAUGUUAAAGACUUUUAAAAAUUCAACCAUAUCACAUAAAUUAAUUUAUCAAGAUGCUG